rnacentral:rRNA from 1 species
UGGGGAAUUUUGGACAAUGGGCGAAAGCCUGAUCCAGCAAUGCCGCGUGUGUGAAGAAGGCCUUCGGGUUGUAAAGCACUUUUGUCCGGAAAGAAAUCCUUGGCUCUAAUACAGUCGGGGGAUGACGGUACCGGAAGAAUAAGCACCGGCUAACUACGUGCCAGCAGCCGCGGUAAUACGUAGGGUGCAAGCGUUAAUCGGAAUUACUGGGCGUAAAGCGUGCGCAGGCGGUUUGCUAAGACCGAUGUGAAAUCCCCGGGCUCAACCUGGGAACUGCAUUGGUGACUGGCAGGCUAGAGUAUGGCAGAGGGGGGUAGAAUUCCACGUGUAGCAGUGAAAUGCGUAGAGAUGUGGAGGAAUACCGAUGGCGAAGGCAGCCCCCUGGGCCAAUACUGACGCUCAUGCACGAAAGCGUGGGGGAGCAAAACAGGAUUAGAUACCCUGGUAGUCCCACGCCCUAAACGAUGUCAACUAGUUGUUGGGGAUUCAUUCCUUAGUAACGUAGCUAACGCGUGAAGUUGACCGCCUGGGGAUACGGUCGCAAGAUUAAAACUCAAA